GGUAAAAUGAGAAGAGGGAUCAUUCCUUGUUAUAGACAUGUACAUACUGCACUGCACUGCACAUCAUGUACUGUACUGUCUCAAUUUCUGAAGAUCAGAACAGUAGAGGGAAAAGGGGAUGAGGAAAAGGUCAAGAUGCCGUAUCAGUUUUUAAAUUGUAAUAUGUAUCAUUUUCAGUUGUGAGUGACCCUUCAUGCUUUGAGUUUGUAUUAAUCUGCAUGUCUCCCUCUUAGCUGGCCUCAACCAAGCAGCUCUAUCCCAAAAGCCACAAACUCCUCAAUGUCACCUACACCACUUCCUAGAGAAAUAGUGCGUGUUUAGGGUAUCAGCCAGGCCUGGCACCUUUGCAUCCGAGCCAGACCGAAGCCCCUGCGGUGGACGAGUGGUUUCAGCACAAGGAACAGGCCGACCGCCACCACAGUGAGGCACCUGUCUUCUCUCCAGGCGACCGGGUCUGGCUCUCCACCCUCCGCCUGCCCCUCGGCCUGCACUGCCGGAAGCUGAGCCUGCGGCCAGUGGUGCCUGGUCCCCUCGCUGAGGCUGAACCCAGGUCCGGCGUACUCAGUCCGUGAAGUCCUGGAAUCGAGGCAUUUGGCGGGGCGUCUCCAGUACCUCAUCGACCUGGAGGGGUAUGGCCCAGAGGAGCGGUGCUGGGUUCCUGCGGUGGACCCGCACCGCGUCCCUGUGGUUGUCCCUGAGGCCGGUGUCAUCCCGCAGUUAAUAUGGGCAGUCAGUAGUUAGUCAACUUACAGUAAAUGGAAAAUAUGAACAAAUACCAACAUGUUUUUAAUCAAGUUAAAUAUUUCUUUAAUACACAACACAUCCCAACUGUGUCUGUAAUGAGUAAUGGUUUACAUAUUUACCUUCUGAACUGAUGCAUGUGGUGGACAGCAUUCAAAGUUUUGGCUGUAAAAUGGUAGGUUUAAUCUAUUUGUGCAUGGAGCAUUAGACACAUAUGGAGGGCAUGACACCAUAUGCUUUGGACACAGCACAUACACAGAAGCACAUAUACUACUGCCUAAUGAGCACAAAGUUAUGACCCAUUCUAAAACUAACAAACAUCCCCGCCCUCUAAAAUGGCAGCACGCAGACACACUCAUGGAAACAAACACAUGCACACAGACUCAUUAACCUGGUUUGCUCGCUACCACUCAGGGUAAAACAGAAAGAGCACU